rnacentral:rRNA from 1 species
ACUCCUACGGGAGGCAGUAGUGGGGAAUAUUGCACAAUGGGCGCAAGCCUGAUGCAGCCAUGCCGCGUGUAUGAAGAAGGCCUUCGGGUUGUAAAGUACUUUCAGCAGUGAGGAAGGUGGGUAUGUUAAUAGCAUAUUCAUUUGACGUUAGCUGCAGAAGAAGCACCGGCUAACUCCGUGCCAGCAGCCGCGGUAAUACGGAGGGUGCGAGCGUUAAUCGGAAUUACUGGGCGUAAAGCGCAUGCAGGUGGUUUGUUAAGUCAGAUGUGAAAGCCCGGGGCUCAACCUCGGAAUUGCAUUUGAAACUGGCAAACUAGAGUACUGUAGAGGGGGGUAGAAUUUCAGGUGUAGCGGUGAAAUGCGUAGAGAUCUGAAGGAAUACCGGUGGCGAAGGCGGCCCCCUGGACAGAUACUGACACUCAGAUGCGAAAGCGUGGGGAGCAAACAGGAUUAGAUACCCUGGUAGGCUCU